rnacentral:rRNA from 1 species
CCUACGGGAGGCAGCAGUGAGGAAUAUUGGUCAAUGGGCGCGAGACUGAACCAGCCAAGUAGCGUGAAGGAUGACUGCUCUACGGGUUGUAAACUUCUUUUAUAAAUGGAUAAAGUGAGGCACGUGUGCCUUUUUUUAUGUACUUUAUGAAUAAGCAUCGGCUAACCCCGUGCCCGCAGCCGCGGUCAUACGGAGUAGUCGAGCGUUAUCCGGAUUUAGUGGGUUUAAAGGGAGCGUAGAUGGGUUUUUAAGUCAGUUGUGAAAGUUUGCGGCUCAAACGUAAAAUUGCAAUUGAUACUGGCAGUCGUGAGUACAGGUGAGGUAGGCGGAAUUCGUGGUGUAGCGGUGAAAUGCUUAGAUAUCACGAAGAACUCCGAUUGCGAAGGCAGCUUACUAAACUGCCACUGACAUUGAUGCUCGAAAGUGUGGGGAUCAAACAGGAUUAGAUACCCGUGUAGUC